rnacentral:lncRNA from 1 species
GGGGUGUCGCCCUUUGGAAGUGACACUAAGGCUAGGUUCUAUGAUGGUUCUAUGGAGAGAAAUUUACACGAGGCCAAAGAGGAAUUUUUUUUGGUUGGCUUGCACCGGAUAGAAUCAUGAACCAUUAGUGACCACAAUCGAGAGAAGAAGCAAUUUGAUGCAUUAAUUGUAGACAAGUAAAAUGAUCACAUUGCACUACUUGAAUUAGAUUGCAUCUAAUAAACGCAAUUUUCUAUAUGAGACAUAAAAAUUUAGAAACCAUUUUAUCAUGAGAAUAGAAGCUAAA